AAAUCAGAACUUGGGCAAAGAGGCACCUUGCUGCUGAUGUUGUUCUUAUAUUAGUCAUGGGCAGAGCAGUUGGCAGUCCUUUGUUCAUCCUUGCCUGAUGCCUGGCUUAGUGGUCAAAGCUGUUUUAUGCCUAGGACACAUAA
ensembl:snoRNA LOC120101263 small nucleolar RNA SNORA48